rnacentral:lncRNA from 1 species
GAGGUUUCAAUAUCUGAUAGUAUCUCCGAUUAAUUAUUCGUCCCUGUUCUGAAACUGUGGUUGCAUUUUUUUUUCUUCUGGCAGCAGCCGUGACCACAUGUUUCUACUUUUUCAGGGCGUUUCUGCAGGGCGUGAUGAUCGCUGCCGCCGGUGCUGGCACGCUGCUGGGUGCGGUCGACGCCGCGCCGGCGGCUUCCAAGAGGCGGGCUCCGCCACCGGCGGAGGAGAAGGAGAAGAAAGACCCCAACCUCAGCGGCGUGCAGGCCAAAGUUCUUGCCAGCAGGAAGAGGAAGGAGGCCAUGAAGGAAGCAAUGGCCAAGAUGAGGG